rnacentral:rRNA from 1 species
ACACACCGCCCGUCACACCAUGGGAGUGGGCUGCAAAAGAAGUAGGUAGUUUAACCUUCGGGGGGACGCUUACCACUUUGUGGUUCAUGACUGGGGUGAAGUCGUAACAAGGUAGCGCUAGGGGAACCUGGCGCUGGAUCACCUCCUUAUACGAUGAU